rnacentral:rRNA from 1 species
AGAGUUUGAUCMUGGCUCAGAUUGAACGCUGGCGGCAUGCUUUACACAUGCAAGUCGAACGCGAAAAGUGGGGGGGCAACCCUGCGAGUAGAGUGGCGAACGGGUGAGUAAUACAUCGGAACGUGCCCAGGAGUGGGGGACAACCUCGAGAAAUCGAGGCUAAUACCGCAUACGUCCUGAGGGAGAAAGCGGGGGAUUCGCAAGGACCUCGCGCUCAUGGAGCGGCCGAUGUCGGAUUAGCUAGUUGGUGGGGUAAAGGCCUACCAAGGCGACGAUCCGUAGCUGGUCUGAGAGGAUGAUCAGCCACACUGGGACUGAGACACGGCCCAGACUCCUACGGGAGGCAGCAGUGGGGAAUUUUGGACAAUGGGGGAAACCCUGAUCCAGCCAUGCCGCGUGAGUGAAGAAGGCCUUCGGGUUGUAAAGCUCUUUCGGCCGGAACGAAAUCGGGGGGUGUGAAUAGGCGCCUCUGGAUGACGGUACCGGAAGAAAGAAGCACCGGCUAACUACGUGCCGCCGCGGUAAUA